AUGACUCUGAAUUGCAAUGAGAUUGGGGGCUGCCUAUGGUUUGAAAAAGUUGCAGCAGGGCAUGAUUAUUUUUCCAGGCGGUUCAUGUGGAACUUUUCUGCUUUGAAUCGAGAUGUAUGGACAGCAAAAUAUGAUGCCACUGGCUUCCUUGUUGAUUGUAGGGCUGCAAUAAACAACUGUUUAUGGAGCAACGAUUUUGAAGCCAGGUUGAGAUUAUGGCCUGAGUUAUUGAAGUUCAACUUGGUUGAAAGGAUGAAGCAAAGUGAAGAUGAAAUAGCAUGA